rnacentral:rRNA from 1 species
AGGGUUUGAUUAUGGCUCAGAUUGAACGCUGGCGGCAUGCUUUACACAUGCAAGUCGAACGGCAGCACGGAGAGCUUGCUCUCUGGUGGCGAGUGGCGCACGGGUGAGUAAUACAUCGGAACGUGUCCUAUUGUGGGGGAUAACCGCUCGAAAGGGUGGCUAAUACCGCAUGAGACCUGAGGGUGAAAGCAGGGGAUCGCAAGACCUUGCGCAGUAGGAGCGGCCGAUGCCCGAUUAGCUAGUUGGCGAGGUAAAGGCUCACCAAGGCGACGAUCGGUAGCUGGUCUGAGAGGACGACCAGCCACACUGGGACUGAGACACGGCCCAG